rnacentral:misc_RNA from 1 species
GUUUUCUUUCACUAUUUUCUUCCUUAAAAUUUCUUUCUUAGUUGUCUUAGAAACAAACACAAUCAGAUCAUCAAAUCAUGGAACAACAACCUUGGCAAAAAAGGAAAUUGGAGGGUAUUUUUUAAGGUAUCAAGAGAUGGUUUCAAAAACAAGGAGUUGAAGGAAACAUGGGUAAGCUUCCACAGGUUGGUUCAAGAGUAAAUGGGGAAGAUGACGGAGUCCAUUCAAGCUUUAAAACCAGCAUCCAUAUAUCUGAUAAGUGGAAGUGAAUUGGAAUUAACAACUCAAGAGAAGAAAACAAAGGAUUUCAAUGCUAAAAAGGAUCCUAUCCCUCUUGAUGACACAACAAUUUUGCA